UCUCUUCACGGUGUCGCUGCGUGGCGCCCGAAGAUGCCAGAGUCCGUAGGUGUGUGCUCCGGAGCGUUCCUGGAACAGGCGUUGGCGAGAAGGGACCUGCACGGAGGAGGGGGAGGAGGACGCGCACGCGAGAGACCCGGUUCAAUUCGGCGUGCAGGCACGACGUCUGUCCCGGCUCCGCUGUCGCCUUCUGGAGCGUGUCCUCCCGCAGAGUCGCCUGCGGGCAAAGCAAGCCACAGUCCGUUCCGCAGCACCGGCAUGGUGUGUUCGUGAUAAAGUCAAAGCCAGUGACUCCAAUAUAAAUACUUCGGUAUUUGGGGAACUGGUAUGAUAUCCGAAUAUUCGAAAUUCCAAAGGUCAAUAUUUUCUAGAGCAAAUGAGUUGGAAAGGCAUUCGGAUGAAGGCCCAAAAGGUGUGACGGGGCACGUUUUACAGGUGUAUGUACCGACUGCUGUUUCAGAAUAGAUAGUUUUCCCCACGGUGAAGUUUAACAGCAGGCUUGAUUGCUCAAGUAAUAUUCCUAUUCUUCUUUGAUAACAUGUUUUGAUAAACACAGUAUCUUUUUUUUUUAUCAGCCAGCAAGCAGAUUUUGUUGAUUUCUGUUACUACUGCUGAUGUCGAUUAGACAUUAAUAAUUAAGUGCAAUUCGCAAAGCUGGAGGAAACUUUAUAUCUCACCAGAGAAACUGGUAACUGGCACUCCAGGCCACUUUCCAUUCUGAAAACUGCACCUUUGAUAGCAAUCGCCUUGUCUGAUAAGAGAUGUUGGGUCACACAUAAGGCCAAAAAAAAAAAAACAUGCCAAAGAGCUUGGCAUAUGGCAAGUAAAACUACAGAAGGCAGGCAUUUAAGGAGAGGGAGGGAUUCUGAGAAGAAACAGACAUGGCUAAGGAUCUUGCAGUUAAGGAAAUAAGAGGAGGGUUUUUUAAAUUGCUGUAGUUGACGUGCAAUAAAAUGUGCUACUUUCAUUUGAUAAAACGGAAAAGUGUUAGGCAUGCAGAUUUCACAUGCCUCUACUGAUUUACUGCCUUUUCAGAAUUUACACAGAAGAGUGAUUUAAAAUAGCUGAAUUUCUAGGAUUCUCUCUGCUUAAGAAGAUGGCGUCUGUUUCAGACAGCCCUGUGUUCCAGUCAGUGAGCAGUGGAUCCUAUGAAAUGUGUACCUUUCAGAAAAGGCUCGCUAGAGGCUGGAAAUGCCUCGCAGAAGCUCAGAGCCGGGAGAAGAACAGUCAUCAGAAACCUAAGUAGGAGCCAAGUUGAAACAUGAGGUGUAUUGCACAUUCUCGAAGUGAUGAUGUAAGAAUGCCUUUUUGGUAUCUUUAAAUGAGGUCCAUACAUAGAAUUAUGGAAUUGCUCUUGGUGAGUUUUAACAAGGAAGAAUGUCAUGAACGUUUUCAAAGAAAACCUGUUUUGUCCAUACAUACGGAAAUAAUAGUUUGCGAAUUAUGUGACUCA